ACACCAAUGGUGAAGCGGUUAUCAUGCUUGCCUUCCACGUUACGCAUCACGUGUGCUUACGUCAGCAAGCGGCAGGGGUUCGACUCCCCUUGGGUGUA